rnacentral:rRNA from 1 species
CCUGGAGCAUAAGCUCCGGCUAACUCCGUGCCAGCAGCCGCGGUAAUACGGAGGGAGCUAGCGUUGUUCGGAAUUACUGGGCGCAAAGCGUGCGUAGGCGGCUAUUCAAGUCAGUGGUGAAAGCCUGGAGCCCAACUCCAGAACUGCCUUUGAAACUAGAUAGCUAGAAUCUUGGAGAGGUGAGUGGAAUUCCGAGUGUAGAGGUGAAAUUCGUAGAUAUUCGGAAGAACACCAGUGGCGAAGGCGACUCACUGGACAAGUAUUGAAGCUGAGGUACGAAAGCGUGGGGAGCAAACAGGAUUCGAUACCCUGGUAGUCCAUGCUGUAAACGAUGAUAACUAGCUGUCCGGGCUCUCAGAGCUUGGGUGGCGCAGUAACGCAUUAAGUUAUCCGCCUGGGGAGUACGGUCGCAAGAUUAAAACUCAAAGGAAUUGACGGGGGCCUGCACUAGCAGUGGAGCAUGUGGUUUAAUUCGAAGCAACGCGCAGAACCUUAUCAGCGUUUGACAUACCGGUCGCGGAUUUCAGA